UCAGAACCGUGAAGUUUCAAUUUUUUUUUUCUUUUCUUCUGUUUCUCUCUCCCUCUUCUGUCGUCGUCGUCUGUCUCCUCUCUUCUCAGCUUGACGAUACAAUACAAGCUCCCCUAAGUUAACAACAAAAGCACUCUCCUUUCGUUUCUUCAGCUACCAAAUCACUGUCUCCCUCUCCAGCUUUGUGGUGAGUCAGAAGAAGGAUCCGAGUCUCCAGGUGCAGUUGCUGGAGUACGAUAUGAGGUUUGAGAGAUAUGGAAGUGAGUUCAUGUUUUAAGAUUACAACGAACCUGAAGAUUUACCGUUGGAGCUUAAACAUUGCUUCAACAUAAUCGUUGCAGAUCCUCCCUACUUGAGUAAGGAAUGUCUGGAAAGAGUUACUCAAACGGUUUCGUUUCUGGCGAGUCCAGUAGGUUCUUUGUUACUUCUUCUCACAGCCCUGUUCGUCCCGUGAACGCUGCGGCAGCGGCAGCGAUCAUAAUUAUCAAAGGAAUGUUGAAUUUUUUUUGCCUCUGUAAGUUGCGGCUAUCACUUUAAUGGUGAGAAUAAGAGAAACUAUGGGAAAUUGUUGAUCGCUGAAUAAAACGGCGGCAUGCUCCGUAAUUAAUUUGGGCCACCAGCGACAUCUUUUGCUCCCCCUCUGUUUUCACCACUGUGAUACCUCUUUGCAGGAGAUGCGCAGAGAGAUAGGGCGGCUGAGCUAUUGGGUGCGCCUUGCGUGUUUAAGCCUCAUCUCUCUAGCAAACUCGGAAACGAGUAGGCUGUUUGUAAGUUAUGAUCCAGGUACCAGACUAGGGGGCUUGGGAUGUUGAUGUUUAUUGUAUUGUAACAAGGUGAAGUUAAUCACAAAUAUAUCGAUAUAAUCAAAUAGUAUAACCGGUUGACCAAAACACUUCUCUUCAUUCUUG